rnacentral:rRNA from 1 species
UACAGAGGGUGCAAGCGUUAAUCGGAAUUACUGGGCGUAAAGGGCGCGUAGGCGGCGGGGUAAGUCUGGUGUGAAAUCUCGGAGCUCAACUCCGAAAUUGCACUGGAUACUGCUCUGCUAGAGGGCUGGAGAGGAGAUCGGAAUUCACGGUGUAGCAGUGAAAUGCGUAGAUAUCGUGAGGAAGACCAGUGGCGAAGGCGGAUCUCUGGACAGCUCCUGACGCUGAGGCGCGAAGGCUAGGGGAGCAAACGGG